GCAUCCAUGAUCAGUUUCCCAAGAUUGGAAGCUGCUGUCAUUGCAUUAUCUGAUGAGUACACAAAAGUUUCUACUUCGGUCGAUGAUGCAAGGGUAGCUUAUUUGAACAGCCAACUGCCACCUCUGUUCUGAAAAAAAUUACACAACCCUACAUUCAAGUUGACUUGAAAGAAGACCUUCCAAAAAUUUAAUAGUCACGAAGAACACCAAUAGAUCAAACGAUGCACUUCUCUUGGAGAUAAGGAAGAAGAAGAUUGUUCCAGGAUUGUUCUGAAUGUAGCCUUGUCAUCAAUACUUUUGAAGUUCUCAAAAGAAGAUAUCUUUUUUUUUAUAACAAAGAAAUAUGUCUAUGACCUUUCCCUUGGACCAAUCACAUCUUUCUAAACUCGGUGGAUUAUGUUUCCG
rnacentral:misc_RNA from 1 species